CCUACGGGGGGCUGCAGUGGGGAAUAUUGGACAAUGGGGGGAACCCUGAUCCAGCCAUGCCGCGUGUGUGAAGAAGGCCCUCGGGUUGUAUAGCACUUUCAGUGAGGAAGAACGCCUGGUGGUUAAUACCCAUCAGGAAAGACAUCACUCACAGAAGAAGCACCGGCUAACUCCGUGCCAGCAGCCGCGGUAAUACGGAGGGUGCGAGCGUUAAUCGGAAUUACUGGGCGUAAAGCGCGCGUAGGUGGCUUGAUAAGCCGGUUGUGAAAGCCCCGGGCUCAACCUGGGAACGGCAUCCGGAACUGUCAAGCUAGAGUGCAGGAGAGGAAGGUAGAAUUCCCGGUGUAGCGGUGAAAUGCGUAGAGAUCGGGAGGAAUACCAGUGGCGAAGGCGGCCUUCUGGACUGACACUGACACUGAGGUGCGAAAGCGUGGGUAGCAAACAGGAUUAGAUACCCGAGUAGUC
rnacentral:rRNA from 1 species